rnacentral:rRNA from 1 species
UACGUAGGGUGCGAGCGUUGUCCGGAAUUAUUGGGCGUAAAGAGCUCGUAGGCGGUGUGUCACGUCGGCCGUGAAAACCUGCAGCUUAACUGUGGGCGUGCGGUCGAUACGGGCAUCACUGGAGUUCGGCAGGGGAGACUGGAAUUCCUGGUGUAGCGGUGGAAUGCGCAGAUAUCAGGAGGAACACCGGUGGCGAAGGCGGGUCUCUGGGCCGAUACUGACGCUGAUGAGCGAAAGCCAGGGGAGCAAACGGG